rnacentral:rRNA from 1 species
GGCUCAGGAUGAACGCUGGCGGCGUGCUUAACACAUGCAAGUCGAACGGUGAACACGGAGCUUGCUCUGUGGGAUCAGUGGCGAACGGGUGAGUAACACGUGAGCAACCUGCCCCUGACUCUGGGAUAAGCGCUGGAAACGGCGUCUAAUACUGGAUACGAGUAGCGAUCGCAUGGUCAGCUACUGGAAAGAUUUUUUGGUUGGGGAUGGGCUCGCGGCCUAUCAGCUUGUUGGUGAGGUAAUGGCUCACCAAGGCGUCGACGGGUAGCCGGCCUGAGAGGGUGACCGGCCACACUGGGACUGAGACACGGCCCAGACUCCUACGGGAGGCAGCAGUGGGGAAUAUUGCACAAUGGGCGGAAGCCUGAUGCAGCAACGCCGCGUGAGGGAUGACGGCCUUCGGGUUGUAAACCUCUUUUAGCAGGGAAGAAGCGAAAGUGACG